AAGACUAUAUUUUCAGGGAUCAUUUCUAUAGUUGUUCACUUGGAAUUGUGUUUUGAAAGUGUUUGUUUCCCAACUCUCGAUGAUGAGCUGUAAUACUCUUUUCUGAGAGCGAAUUGAGGAUAGAACUAUGACUUUGUUCACAAGUUUUGUCAUUGAUGAGUGUUCAUAUUGCUUUUGGCAAUAUUGAAGAAAGGAGUAUGACCUGAGUGGU